GCUCUACAACCCUUUGUGAACAUACCUAUAACUGUUGCUUCGGCGGGUAGGGUCUCCGUGACCCUCCCGGCCUCCCGCCCCCGGGCGGGUCGGCGCCCGCCGGAGGAUAACCAAACUCUGAUUUAACGACGUUUCUUCUGAGUGGUACAAGCAAAUAAUCAAAACUUUUAACAACGGAUCUCUUGGUUCUGGCAUCGAUGAAGAACGCAGCGAAAUGCGAUAAGUAAUGUGAAUUGCAGAAUUCAGUGAAUCAUCGAAUCUUUGAACGCACAUUGCGCCCGCCAGCAUUCUGGCGGGCAUGCCUGUUCGAGCGUCAUUUCAACCCUCAAGCUCUGCUUGGUGUUGGGGCCCUACAGCUGAUGUAGGCCCUCAAAGGUAGUGGCGGACCCUCCCGGAGCCUCCUUUGCGUAGUAACUUUACGUCUCGCACUGGGAUCCGGAGGGACUCUUGCCGUAAAACCCCCAAUUUUCCAAAGGUUGACCUCGGAUCAGGUAGGAAUACCCGCUGAACUUAAGCAUAUCAAUAAGCGGAGGAAAAGAAACCAACAGGGAUUGCCUCAGUAACGGCGAGUGAAGCGGCAACAGCUCAAAUUUGAAAUCUGGCCCUAGGCCCGAGUUGUAAUUUGCAGAGGAUGCUUUUGGUGCGGUGCCUUCCAAGUUCCCUAGAACGGGACGCCAGAGAGGGUGAGAGCCCCGUACAGUUGGACACCAAGCCUUUGUAAAGCUCCUUCGACGAGUCGAGUAGUUUGGGAAUGCUGCUCAAAAUGGGAGGUAUAUUUCUUCUAAAGCUAAAUACCGGCCAGAGACCGAUAGCGCACAAGUAGAGUGAUCGAAAGAUGAAAAGCACUUUGAAAAGAGGGUUAAACAGCACGUGAAAUUGUUAAAAGGGAAGCGCUUGUGACCAGACUUGCGUCCGGUGAAUCACCCAGCUCUCGCGGCUGGGGCACUUCGCCGGCUCAGGCCAGCAUCAGCUCGCUGUCGGGGACAAAAGCUUCAGGAACGUAGCUCUCUUCGGGGAGUGUUAUAGCCUGUUGCAUAAUACCCUUCGGCGGGCUGAGGUACGC
rnacentral:rRNA from 2 species